rnacentral:lncRNA from 1 species
UUUGAUCCUUCUUAUCAUUCUCGAGACAUUUUUCACCUGUACGAGUGGAAACUUUUCCAUGGAUGUAACUUCAUUGGAGAUGUGAAUCAAUGAUUCUAGCAAAGACCCAGUUGGAGGAAAGCCUGAGGAGACCAUGAGAGGAGGUAGAGUUAUAUCCAUGGUGUUGUUGCCGUUCAGAGUAACUUUAUAUUCAUUGUUCUUUGCAUGUUUUAAGUUUAGAUUUCAUGGAGAAAACUCCUAUGUUAGGACAAGAUGAUAAUUAUAAACUAAAAUAUUGUGGUGGAGUAUUGACUGAUUCUGUUUGUACUGUUGUUGUAGGUGACAAUAAGAUGGCUAGUUGGAGAAGUCCCGAAUUUCUGCCACUUGGAGGGCGUACCGCUCUUGCCGGGUCAGUUAUAUUCUCCAUCAAUUUAAUAUUCAGAGAAACAUACAUAUACAUAUGUACACG